UACGGAGGGUGCGAGCGUUGUCCGGAAUCACUGGGCGUAAAGGGCGCGUAGGCGGCGCGGAUAGUCGGCGGUGAAAGCCCGGAGCUCAACUCCGGGUCGGCCGUCGAUACUUCCGGGCUUGAGCACUGUAGAGGCAGAUGGAAUUCCGGGUGUAGCGGUGGAAUGCGUAGAGAUCCGGAAGAACACCGGUGGCGAAGGCGGUCUGCUGGGCAGUUGCUGACGCUGAUGCGGCGACAGCGGUGGGGAGCAAACGAGGAUUAG
rnacentral:rRNA from 1 species